rnacentral:rRNA from 1 species
GGGUUGUGAGGUUAAGCGACUAAGCGUACACGGUGGAUGCCCUGGCAGUCAGAGGCGAUGAAGGACGUGCUAAUCUGCGAUAAGCGUCGGUAAGGUGAUAUGAACCGUUAUAACCGGCGAUUUCCGAAUGGGGAAACCCAGUGUGAUUCGUCACACUAUCAUUAACUGAAUCCAUAGGUUAAUGAGGCGAACCGGGGGAACUGAAACAUCUAAGUACCCCGAGGAAAAGAAAUCAACCGAGAUUCCCCCAGUAGCGGCGAGCGAACGGGGAGCAGCCCAGAGCCUGAAUCAGUGUGUGUGUUAGUGGAAGCGUCUGGAAAGGCGCGCGAUACAGGGUGACAGCCCCGUACACAAAAAUGCACAUACUGUGAGCUCGAUGAGUAGGGCGGGACACGUGGUAUCCUGUCUGAAUAUGGGGGGACCAUCCUCCAAGGCUAAAUACUCCUGACUGACCGAUAGUGAACCAGUACCGUGAGGGAAAGGCGAAAAGAACCCCGGCGAGGGGAGUGAAAAAGAACCUGAAACCGUGUACG